GUGCUGGGAUUACAGGCAUGAGUUACUGCGCCCAGCUAUUGUUCCUCUCUUAAAAUAGCUUGCCACAUUUUGACACUAUAAAGCUAAGAUUAAAAAAGGCUCUAACACAGAAGCCAGAGACUCUGUUCCUCCCUGUGCCUUAAUUUCCCUUAAUCUACACUUCUGUGAGAUGAGCAUCAUUCCCUAGCUUGGCAUCUUGCAUGGACUUUUUUUUUUUUUUUUUUUGAGGAGAUAGUAUUCUUGCUAGGGUUUAAAUGGAUUUUGCUUGCUAUUCAAAUCACAAUACAGAAAUUUACUUUAGGCCAAAUAUUCUUCACUGGCUUUGAGACACUUCUCUGUGUUCUGAAAACCAUUGAUCUUUACCAACACAUAGCCCUUUUCAUUUUUUACACUGGUUCUAUUGCAGGAACCUGCUCAGGUCUCUGAACCUGCAUUAGAACACUGAAUCUUCAUACUGACCUUAUGAGGUAGAUAACAUAAUCAAUUGACAACGAUACUAUUGACAACUAAGGGAAAUUAAGGCACAAGGAGGAACACACAGCUUGAAGGAGACAGUACCAGGUGCAGGAACAUGGUAGAAAUAAAAAAAUAUGCAACAUUUCCUCAAAUCUCAUUGAGAUUACAAAUUAAACUUUGAAAAACAAUUCCUGGUAUUUUCUUAAUUAAAUAUCGAAUUUUUCAUGUGUGAUUAUUUUCUGUAUGUAAUUAUGUAAUGAGAAGAUAUUUGUCUAGUAUUUAAAUAGGUUCUGCAGAAGAUAUGUGGGGUUUUGCUCAGAUCUUCUUUGCAGAGUUGAAGAAAGAAAUGUUUAGAUCAGUUUAGUUUCAUUUUGCUUAACCAAAGAUCCAGAAUCCUGUUGAGAGAGAGAGAAAUAAUGAAAGUAAAAUUUAGCUGUCACAGAGAUAAUGUCAGUACUCUAAGCCUUAUUUUGGGUUAGUUUUGGCACAUUAUGGCCAGUUUGGAAAUCCUAUGCCCACCCUCUUCUGUAACUGGCAUAACAAUGCCAUUGGGAUUCAGCUAUGCAAGUACCUCCACUUUUCUUGGCAUGCCAUCUGUACCAAGCACAUGCUCUGAGUUCCAUGGGUACACCUCAUCACUGGAACUUGGCAUCUGGUGAAUUGUUUAGACUUGUGGGAGAUCAUCUAGACUUGACUUUUCCUGAAGAUCUCCUGCAUACUAAUGUUCUCACCGCUUGCCAUUUGGAGCUAUUGAGGUCUAGGGCACUAACACCAUGAGGAGAGCUGCUGUUACAAGAAUUGUGCUGAAUAUGAAAGAGGGACUCUUCCACAUGCCCUUAUUGCUUAAGCAUACUUUUCCAUUGCAUGAAGAAUAUUGUGGGUUGUUCAUGUCAUCUUUCAACUCAAUCUUCAUUACAAAAGAGAUUAACUAAAUUCUUAUAAGCUUCUGACAGGUGGAAAUCCUAGUUUCCAACACUGGUACAGAUUUUACUACAAAGUGUCAUGUACCUUUGCUCAUUUUUAAAGGAGAUUUGAAAGGAAAAGUCAGUUAAAUAUGAUGGAGACAGGAGGCAGAGAAAUUCUAGGUAGAAAAGGGUGAGUCCCCAGUGAAAACCCUACCCUCAAGCUGAAAUGCCUGAAACCCCGGCCCAAAGUGAGAAUUUAUAUCCCUGUUUUCCUACUUGAAUGUUGCCUUUUCCUAAACUGCCCAUGGCCCGCCCUGCCUGCAAUCCUGUGCCUAUAAAGACCCAAGACUCAGUCAGAGAGGAGUGGAGACUAUGGCUGGACAUUGGAGAGAAGCAGCUUGACUUCAGAGGGACAGCUUGACAGUGUAACUUCAGAGAAGAAUCCAGCUGGACAGGGCCAGACUUCAGGGGAAGAUCACCUACCCCACUGUCCCCUUUUCAGCUCCCUUUCUCACUGAGAGCCACUUUCAUCAGCAAUAAAAUCCCCCUCAUUUACCAUCCUUCAGUUUGUUUUUGUGACCACAUUUUUCCUGGACACCGGACAAGAGCCUGGGAGCCAUGAGUGCCGAUAUAAAAGGCUCUCACAUUCGCCAUUUGCCCUUGCUGGUGGAGGGCAGCUGUCCCACAUGACAAGGCAAAGGGCCCACUGAGCUGUUAACACUUAAGCCGUCCACAGACAGCAGAGCUAAAAGAGCACUGUUAACACAUCUUCUGGGGCUUCAGGAAUCGCAGGCAACCCCACCUGGAUGCUACCACAGGGCCUGCACAGUUUGUUCCUGCCCAUGCCAAAGCGGCCAGCCAGUUCCAGUGCUUGUACACUCCAGUUCCUGCCUUGUUUGCCUGUGCACUCCCUCCCAGGAGGAGUUGAGAAUGGCAGGCUGAGUAAACAAGGCACCCCUGUCUCGAGUCCUGUGAAGGGGUCAGGGAAAUAUCCUGCUUCAAAUGUACCAUCAUUUAACUGAAUGAGUGCUCAAAAUACCAUCUGAACACAUUUCGUUUAAAAACAAAAAUCAAAUAUACAAAAAAAUCAAGUUUUUAUUUCAAAUAUUUGAAUCUAAUAGAUCAUUAUUUAGGUUUAUACUCUGUGAAU
rnacentral:lncRNA from 10 species